GAUGAACGCUGGCGGCGUGCUUAAUACAUGCAAGUCGAACGGAAAGGCCCUGCUCUUGUGGGGUGCUCGAGUGGCGAACGGGUGAGUAACACGCGAGUAACCUGCCCUUGACUUUGGGAUAACUUCACGAAACUGGGGCUAAUAUCGGAUAGGAGCUCCUGCUGCAUGGUGGGGGUUGGAAAGUUUCGGCGGUUUGGGAUGGACUCGCGGGUUACGGGCUUGUUGGUGGGGUAGUGGCUUACCAAGGGUUUGACGGGUAGCCGGCCUGGGAGGGUUACCGGCGACAAUGGGCCUACGAGACGCACCAGACUGCUACGGGAGGCAGCGGGCGGAAAUAUGGCGCAAUAGGCGGAAGCCUGAUGCGGCGACGCCGGGUGCGGAAUGACGUCCUACGGGUUAUAAACCGCUUUCGCCUGUGACGAAGCGUGAGUGACGGUAAUGGGUAAAGAAGCACCGGCUAACUACGUG
rnacentral:rRNA from 1 species